rnacentral:rRNA from 1 species
UACGUAGGGUGCGAGCGUUGUCCGGAAUUAUUGGGCGUAAAGGGCUCGUAGGCGGUUUGUCGCGUCGGGAGUGAAAACCUCGGGCUUAACUCGGGGCUUGCUUUCGAUACGGGCAGACUGGAGGUAUGCAGGGGAGAACGGAAUUCCUGGUAUAGCGGUGAAAUGCGCAGAUAUCAGGAGGAACACCGGUGGCGAAGGCGGUUCUCUGGGCAUGACCUGACGCUGAGGAGCGAAAGUGUGGGGAGCGAACAGG